rnacentral:pre_miRNA from 1 species
GCUUACCGACCGGUCGUCGAUUAAUCGACUUUUGAUCUUUCUGUUAGAUUUGGUUAGGUUAGAUUGACAAGUAGCAAGCAGCAAGCAUUUCGCAUUCUUUAUUCAGAUAAUCGGUGUUUUUUUUCUGAAGAUCAAAAGUCGAUUAAUCGACGACCGGUCGGUAAGCACUA